rnacentral:rRNA from 1 species
AUUGAACGCUGGCGGCAGGCUUAACACAUGCAAGUCGAGCGAGCGGCGGACGGGUGAGUAAUGUCUGGGAAACUGCCUGAUGGAGGGGGAUAAAUACUGGAAACGGUAGCUAAUACCGCAUACCAUCAGAUGUGCCCAGAUGGGAUUAGCUAGUAGGUGGGGUAAGGGCGCACAUGGGCGACGUGCCCUAGCUGGUCUGAGAGGAGGACCAGCCAAACUGUACAUGAGACACGGUCCAGACUCCUACGGGAGGCAGCAGUGGGGAAUCUUGCACAAUGGGCGCAAGCCUGAUGCAGCCAUGCCGCGUGUGUGAAGAAGGCCUUCGGGUUGUAAAGCACUUUCAGCGAGGAGGCGUUACUCGCAGAAGAAGCACCGGCUAACUCCGUGCCAGCAGCCGCGGUAAUUC